rnacentral:rRNA from 1 species
AACGAACGCUGGCGGCAUGCCUAACACAUGCAAGUCGAACGAGACCUUCGGGUCUAGUGGCGCACGGGUGCGUAACGCGUGGGAACCUGCCCUUAGGUUCGGAAUAACUCCCCGAAAGGGGUGCUAAUACCGGAUAAUGUCUUCGGACCAAAGAUUUAUCGCCUUUGGAUGGGCCCGCGUUGGAUUGGCUAGUUGGUAGGGUAAAAGCCUACCAAGGCGACGAUCCAUAGCUGGUCUGAGAGGAUGAUCAGCCACACUGGGACUGAGACACGGCCCAGACUCCUACGGGAGGCAGCAGUGGGUAGGGUUGGACAAUGGGCGAGAUCCUGAUCCAGCAUUGCCGCGUGUGUGAUGAAGGCCUUAGGGAUAAAAAGCUCUUGUACCCGGGAUGAUAAUGGCAGUACCGGAAGAAUAAGAUCCGGCUCACUCCGUG